GCCCGGAUAGUUUAGUGGUAAAACAAGCCCUUGGUAAGGGCUAGAGUGUGGGUUCAAUUCCCACUCCGGGCU
rnacentral:tRNA from 1 species